rnacentral:rRNA from 1 species
UACGUAGGGUGCAGGCGUUAAUCGGAAUUACUGGGCGUAAAGCGCACGCAGGCGGCUGAGUAAGUCUGACGUGAAAUCUCCCGGCUUAACCGGGAGCGGUCGUUGGAAACUACUUGGCUUGAGGCGAUGAGAGGGGUGUGGAAUUCCCGGUGUAGUGGUGGAAUGCGUAGAUAUCGGGAGGAACAUCAGUGGCGAAAGCGGCACCCUGGCAUUAGCCUGACGCUCAGGUGCGAAAGCGUGGGGAGCGAACGGG